GGGUCAGUAGGUUGGUCGUGCCACCGGUACGUACUGGUCUCACUGAUUCCUCCUUCCUGAAGAACCGUAAUGCCAUUAAUUUGGUGUUGCGGGGUAACAGGACUGUUACUUUGAAAAAAUUAGAGUGUUUAAAGCAAGCUAACGCUUGAAUACAUUAGCAUGGAAUAAUGAAUUAGGACGAUCGAUCCUAUUUUGUUGGUUUCUAGGAUUGACGUA
rnacentral:rRNA from 1 species